rnacentral:rRNA from 1 species
GACGAACGCUGGCGGCGUGCUUAACACAUGCAAGUCGAUCGGAAAGGCCCUGCUUGCAGGGUACUCGAGUGGCGAACGGGUGAGUAACACGUGGGUGAUCUGCCCUGCACUUCGGGAUAAGCCUGGGAAACUGGGUCUAAUACCGGAUAGGAGCCAUUUUUAGUGUGAUGGUUGGAAAGUUUUUUCGGUGUAGGAUGAGCUCGCGGCCUAUCAGCUUGUUGGUGGGGUAAUGGCCUACCAAGGCGGCGACGGGUAGCCGGCCUGAGAGGGUGGACGGCCACAUUGGGACUGAGAUACGGCCCAGACUCCUACGGGAGGCAGCAGUGGGGAAUAUUGCACAAUGGGCGCAAGCCUGAUGCAGCGACGCCGCGUGGGGGAUGACGGCCUUCGGGUUGUAAACUCCUUUCGCUAGGGACGAAGCUUUUUGUGACGGUACCUAGAUAAGAAGCACCGGCUAACUACGUG